GAAGGUGGGGAUGACGUCAAGUCAUCAUGGCCCUUACGACCAGGGCUACACACGUGCUACAAUGGCGCAUACAAAGAGAAGCGACCUCGCGAGAGCAAGCGGACCUCAUAAAGUGCGUCGUAGUCCGGAUUGGAGUCUGCAACUCGACUCCAUGAAGUCGGAAUCGCUAGUAAUCGUGGAUCAGAAUGCCACGGUGAAUACGUUCCCGGGCCUUGUACACACCGCCCGUCACACCAUGGGAGUGGGUUGCAAAAGAAGUAGGUAGCUUAACCUUCGGGAGGGCGCUUACCACUUUGUGAUUCAUGACUGGGGUGAAGUCGUAACAAGGUAACCGUAGGGGAACCUGCGGUUGGAUCACCUCCUUACCUUAAAGAA
rnacentral:rRNA from 2 species